rnacentral:rRNA from 1 species
UACGGGGGGGGCAAGCGUUGUUCGGAAUUACUGGGCGUAAAGGGUUUGUAGGUGGCUCGCUAAGUCACACGUGAAAUCCCUCAGCUUAACUGGGGAACUGCGUGUGAGACUGAUGAGCUCGAGUGCAGGAGAGGAACGCGGAAUUCCAGGUGUAGCGGUGAAAUGCGUAGAUAUCUGGAGGAACACCGGUGGCGAAGGCGGCGUUCUGGACUGCAACUGACACUGAAAAACGAAAGCCAGGGGAGCAAACGGG